CCUACGGGAGGCAGCAGUGGGGGAUAUUGCACAAUGGGGGAAACCCUGAUCCAGCGACGCCGCGUGAGUGAAGAAGUAUUUCGGUAUGUAAAGCUCUAUCAUCAGGGAAGAAAAUGACAGUACCUGACCAAUCAGCCCCGGCUAACUACGUGCCAGCAGCCGCGGGAAUACGUAGGGGGCAAGCGUGAUCCGGAUUUGCUGGGUGUAACGGCAGCGUAGACGGUUUUGCAUGUCUGGAGUGAAAGCCCGGGGGCCAACCCCGGGACCGCUUUGGAAACUGUGUAACUGGAGUACGGGAGGGGCAGGCGGAAUUCCAGGUGUAGCGGUGAAAUGCGUAGAUAUCAGGAGGAACACCGGCGGCGAAGGCGGCCUGCUGGACUGAAACUGACGUUGAGGCACGAAAGCGUGGGGAGCAAACAGGAUUAGAUACCCCAGUAGUC
rnacentral:rRNA from 1 species